AUAAAGCUAAAACCCGGAGGCUUAAAUUUUAGAUUAGAAGUCAAAAUAUUGAUAGCUU
rnacentral:tRNA from 1 species